rnacentral:ncRNA from 1 species
UUAAAGUUUUAUUUUAGCUUAUAAAAUUGAUUUAUAUAUAUUUAAUAUAUGAAAUUGAGGGUUAGAUAAAAAUUAAUGUAGUUUAAAAAUUUAAGGAUAAUAGAAAUAUUGAAUUAGUAAGUUAUAAUUAUAUUGAUUAAAUUUGUGCCAGCAAUUGCGGUUAUACAAUUAAUAUUAUUGAUUUAUAUUGAUUUUUAUUUAUAGGAUUUGUAUAAUUAGUUUAGAUUAUAAAGUGAAAUUUUAAUUUAUUAGGUGAUUAUUAUUAAUUAAAUAUUUGAAAUUUGUUAAUAAACUAGGAUUAGAUACCCUAUUAUUAUAAGUUUAAAUUUAAAAUUAGUUAUUAUUAGUUAUAUUCUUUAAAGUUAAAAGAUUUGGUAGUAUUAUAUCUUUUUAGAGGAACCUGUUCUAUAAUUGAUAGUCCACGAUUAAUUGUACUUAUAUUAUAUAAAUUUAUAUAUCGUUGUAGUUGAAUUUUUUAUUAGAAUAAUAAUAUUCAUAAGGCUAGAAUAGGAAAUAAAUCAGAUCAAGAUGUAGUUUAUAUAUAAGAUGAAAUGGGUUACAUUGGUAAAUAACUAUAGUUAUAGUUUUUAAAAAAUUAUAUAAAUUGGAUUUAAGUGUAAUUUUAUUAAUUUAAAUAUAAUGAAUUAAGUACUAUAAUAUGCACAUAUUGCCCGUCGCUUUCAUAUAAAAUGAGAUAAGUCGUAACAAAGUAGUUGUACUGGAAAGUGUAGCUAGAAAGAU